GCCGGUCACAUGACUGAGGCUGUUGCUGGGAUGACGGUCGGGCCUUAGCAACAAGGGAGGGGGGACCUCGAGAAGGUGGAAGCGGGUGCAGACCCAGGAAGAGGGAAGGAGGGAGGACAGCACCCCCUUUCCUUCGCAGAGUGUUAUCUUCUGUGACCCUCAUAACCUGCCCCUGAGAUGGAGUCCUCUAGUGUCCCAGGAAGCCAGACAUAAGGAAAAACUGACACUUAUUUUAAGUGAAAAGGAGAGGAAUGGGAUAGGGGAAAGAAAAGAAAGGGAUCUUCUCAGGACAAAGUGGCACAGAAGUACCACUGGUAAGUACAAAAUGGUAAGUGAUACAUCAAAUUCUUCUAUUAAUUAAAACACGUAAGUAUGCAGAGGACUCCCAUCUCCCUUUUUUUCCUUCAAAUUCCUACUUUUUGAAAACAUCAUACAAAGUGCUUCUGGGGGAGAUACAGAAGGGUUUUGAGGGUAGAAAAGCAAUAGAGAAUCUGUUUUGGCAGCCGAAUAUGUACAUAGGGAGGAGAAGGAAAGGUUGGGCAGGGGAGAAGCUUGACCUGGUGGUAGUUGGAGAGGUUGCUAUGCAUGUCAGCAAUGUCCUCACUGGAUACUUCUUUGAUGACCAGAGUCCGAUCAUAGGAGAUGAGAAAGCGACCAUCACUGCCUUCACUUUCACUUGGGGGGCUUCGGGUAAGGGACACCUAAAAACAAAGUACAAGUUACAAGUUUUUUUCCAUUUGCAUGGAGAAAUAAGUCAUAGGUUAAUGGCUAACAAAAUGCUUCUAAAACCAUAUGAAAUCUUGGGUAAAAGAUUCAGCAGGCAUUAAUCUGUUGUUCACAUAUGGAUCAAAUGAAAUUCAAAGCAAAGUUUUUUUUCCUUGUUGUUUGUGUACUAAGGACUGAACCUAGGAUCUUAUACAUGCUAGGUAAUUACCACUGAGCUACAUCCCUGGCCCUUUGUACUUUUUUGAUAAGAGGCUUGCUAAACUUCCCAGGAUGACCUUGAAUUUGUGAUCCUCCUGCCUCAGCCUUCCAAAUAGCUGAGAUUAUAGGCAUUGUCACUGCAUCUAGCAAAUGCAAAAUUCUUUAUGUGCCUGUAUUUUUUCCCCAAGGAUGUCUUUAGAUUAGUUUCAUUAGCUUUCAUCAGGUGUUUUGUUUUGUACCGGGGAUCAAACUCAUGACUUUGCAUUUGCCAAGCAGGCACUUAUGCCACUGAGCUAAACCUCCAGCUUUCAUUAGUUUUUUGUUUUUGUUUUUCUUCCAAUACCAGGAACUGAACCCAAGACCUGUGUGUGCCAGGCAAGUGCCGUAUCACUGAGCUACAUUCCCAGCCAUCCUUAGAUUUUUGAAGAUGACUUUGACCAGAAAACAAUAAAGAAUCAUAUUCAUUGAGGCUUUUGUUUCUCUAAAAAUGACUAUCCCAAGGACUCCCAAAUUGCUAGGGAUUAUCUUAUCCCAUAACAGACUCUCACCAAGUAAUCCUGGUCAUCAAUGCCAAAUCUAUCACGGAGAUUCCUGAAGACCUGGGGACAAUAUUCCUUGAACUUGAAAUGACUGGGUAGAUUUUCUCUGAAAUACAGGUUUUCAUGGUGAAACAACAAAAUAACAAUAUUACCUUUCACUUACAUAGGACUUGACAAGCACCUUUAUAUAUUACCUCAUUUGAUUCUCAUAAAACCUGUGAGGUACUUUUAAAGGUAUUUUAUAGAAGGAAAGCCAGGUUUCAGGGUGACUGAGUGACCUGCCUAAGUUACAUGGCUGGAAAGCAGUGUAACAAGUAUCAUUUCCCAAAUCCUAAGCAAGUUAGAGACAUUCUAAGGUUAGCUAUAGGUACUUGAGUUAUUUAAAUGGCAUCUUCUGGUAUAAGAGGGGCUUAGAAGACUAAAGUACUUCUUUCACAGACUCUUUAACAGUAAUAAUAGUAAUGGCAUGUGAAUCUAUUCACUCUAUGGAAUUGCCAGGCUAGAGGAGAGGUAGCACACACAAGGUUCAGACAAUAUUAGGAAUUAUUUUACUUUCUUUGCACAAACCUCUCUAUAUUGGGAAGGAUGUUGGAUCAUAUAUUUAUAAAAUGACUUUAAAAUCUAAAACUUUUAACUCAUGAACUCUUUUAAAAUUACUUAUUAUUCUUUGUCUAGAAGGUUGCCAUGAAAUAGACAAGGAUUCCCCACUUACCUAUGGAAAAGGUGAUUGUUGACCUUGAUCUUGGAGCUAGCCUUGAAGUCAUCUGGCAGAAGCAUGACUGGGGGAGGCACCUGGCUGAGCUCAUUGAUCUGAUAGUCAAAACAUGAAAAAGGAGGCAUUAGGAGUGUGGAGAGAUACUUACUUAUACAAUGUGUCUGGUCAGGAGUCAGAAAAGGGCAACUCAAACCUCAUUCCUUUAAAAACACUGGACAUGCAUAUGUCUCAAGUCAGAGACUGUGUCUAAACAUCUCAGCUGCCCAAAGAUUGCUGUAAGCAAUCCUCACACUCCCACCCCCAUGGAACUUCAUGCUCUCAACAGUAAUUUUAUAUUAGGCAAACUCUGUAAGCAACUCAGAAUUAUUUUUAAACCUGAAAUUCUACAAACCUAGAAAUUCUAGAAAAAAGGCACCCAAAACACCCCACAAAAACAACCCCCCCCAAACAAAACAAAACCCCUCUGGAGACUCAAGACAGUUACUUGCUCAAUUUAAAAAAAAUGUUUUUAAGUGCACAGAGUUAAUGGGACUCAGAAGGGUCGAAACCAGCAUGAAGAUGAAAUACCUAUAUCCUCUAAGAAGUAUCUCUUAGAGGUACUGACAAUCCUUCCAGACCAUUCUGAAGGAGGCACCCACAAACCUAGGUGUAAAGUGAGAGAACAGCUGAUCUCAGAGGGAAUGCAGGUCAUCAGAGGACAAGAGCUCAUUAGGUGACUGUUUCCUAAAGUGAAGCCAGUCUACAGCCCAAAGGACACAAGCAUCACAUAUUCUCAGCCUCAGGAUCUGUAGCCUACUGAUUCAGGGUGGUAGAAAGGGGGCUUCUGUAUUUAGGAAUCUCAAGGAACUGUCCUUUCUCCUUGGUGUUGCUAGAUUACCUCUCACCUGCCUUUACAGUGCAUGAUGGGAACAGGGAUAUAGCUCAGCAGCACAGCACCUGCUUGGUAAGCACGAGGUUGUACAUUCAAUUCCCAGUACCAAAAACAAAAAAGCACAAAGUUGUGAGCUCAAUUCCCAGUACCAAACACACAGACACACAACCAGUGCAUGAUGUACCACAUGAUUCUAACCACCCAGUUUAUGUAAGUCCCACCACCCUGCCCCCAGAUUGUCAGCUCCAAAGAUAAGUGCUCAUCCUAUUCUUUAUAUUUGCCUAGUUAGCACAAUGUCUAGCACGCAAAGAUCCUGAAAUGUUUAUUAACUUAAUAAAUGUCUUGCCUAUCUUUACUUGAUAAUUUGAAAAGGUUAAGAAUUGCAGAGUAACCUAAAUUCCAAACACUGCAGUGCAUGCAACACCCCCCACCCCCGUUCUCGUGGAAAAAAGAGGACAGAACAUAUUUCUCCAGGCAAAAAAAAAGCCACUUGAGAUUCCCAGCCUAAAAUUCAGCUACAGCUCUUCUUGCCCCCUCCUUACCACCUGCUAAGUAGGCUGAAUCAUCACUAAGGCAUAUGUUGAAGGAAUUUCUCCAUUCCAGACACUGAAGUAGAUACGUGUUGGCUGAACGGUGGGCUGAUGGAGCUAAAGUAUAUAUUCCUAAAGAAGCUGAAGCAAGUCUUACAUGGAAUCCUCCAAUCCUUACCAAGGUUCCUCCAGCUGGAGACGAAUCCCGGCCAGUCUCCGUAGCCUGGGGCUGGAAGAAGUCAAGACCAGGGGCCUAGACUUCAGGUAAGGAAGACACUACUCUAUUAGGGCUGACUGGGAGACAAUAAGUUCACAACCAGAAGACAGUCUGGAGGAACCCCUGGGGACGGGUGGGUGGCAACGCGAGGGAAUCCGGACGCGGGAGCCUGGAAACCUGGAGCCCCAAAGCGCAGAAGCUGAGGGUUGAGGAUCGGGUUGACAGGGGCUAGGGCUAGUACUCACCGAGUGGGCUACGCCCCACAGGAACACACCCACCAGCGGGUCGGCUGCCCGGAACACCUUCACCUUCUGUUGCACGAAAUGCUUCUUCUUGGUUUUGGAGGCGAAGCCGAAACCCGGGCCGGGGCCCGCUGUUGCCGCGGGUGCGCUGGCUGGCGGGACCGAGGACGCCAUAGUCUCCCGCGCACCCGACUGAGUGGAAGCGGGAGCCGGUCGCGAUUCAGGCGCCUGACCCCGGAAGCGGUGCUCACCUGCGCCGCCGUCACGUGACCGGAGGCUGGCCCACAGGCCUGCGGCGAGGGCGGGGCAAAGAUGGCUCCGCCCCCGACGCCAGCCCGCCUGGCCGCCCGCGCAGUAGGUGGGCUCACCUGGAGCGGAGAAACCAAGUGUUGGGGGCGGUGCGCGGCUACCUUGAUUGAGUCCCUAGCGGGUCAUCUAGGGUCACAGGAGCGCUCUGGCUGGCAUGGAUAAUACCUGGCCAGGAGGUCGGGAUUUUCGCUGCCAAGUAACCCUCUUCUGGAUCUGCCGUACUUUUAAGAGUAACCUGCACCCUAGGCUAACGCAAAGCUUUUCUUUACCGAGUAAAGAUCUGGGAGAGGCAGGCACAAGAAAUCCUAAAUUCUAGUGGUUUUUGGAGACCUUGAAGUCACUAUGUAGCCCAGGCUGGUUUCAAACUCGCAGCGAUCCUCCUACCUCAGCCUGCUGAGUGCUGAGAACACAGGCGUGCACCACCAUGCCCGAAGAAAUUCUGCAUUCUUACCUGUGGCCACUAGCAUGUUUAAAUUCGUUCAUUUAUCUAGUCACCAGGUAUCUAUUGAACAUUUACUUGAACCCAGUAUUGCUCCUCAAACUGACUUUUCCUUUGAUUGAAGCUGAGAACAAAUAGUUCCAGCCCUAAAGCAGUUGGGCAGAGAGGGUGGGAGUGUCUAAUGGCCCAGGCUGGCCAAGGAGAAAGUUGCAAUAUUUGAGAUAAAAGCUAUACUGGAGCUGCCUGUGAGGCAGCGAUUAUGACACAGGAAGUAUAGACCAUCAGAAAACCAUUGGAAAAGGUUAGAGACUUAUUGGAAGGGUUGGUGGAAUUCAAGGCCAAGUGUGAGAAGGCUUUCUGUGCAGAGACCAGUGUAAAAAGCCAUUAAGACAAGACAGAACUUGUCUGUUUCUAAAGAUGUUAAUAGUAAAGUAAGCUGGAACUUGAGAACCAGCGGGGGGGAAAAAAACAAGAUGUAAGGUUAGGAAGGGUAAGCACUGGAGAUCUCCUGAAGUGGAUUUAAUCUAGUGAGUAUGCUUUUAGAAGGACCACUUAGGGGUCAUUCUAGAGGGUGACUGGAGUGUUGCAAAAGUUCACAUACAGCAAACUAAAACUGUGGCUGCUGAGUUGAGAGAAAGUGACCUAAAGGUUUAGAUAACUUGGAAGAUACACAGUGCAGUCAGGCAUGAUGGAGCAUUUAUGUAAUCCCAGAACUUGGUGAGCAGGCUGAGGCAGAGGACGGCGAGUUCAAGCCCAUCAUGGACAAUUUAGUGACCUAGUGAGACCCUGUUUGAAAAAUUUUUAAAAGGGGCUGGUCAACAUAAGUCAACAUAGUUCUGUGUGAAGACUCAGUAAGAAAAAAGCAAGUAAACAAGCUGUUCUUAGCAUGUAUGGUUUGCAGGAAAUGCCAGACACUGAGACUGAGUUUCAGGCUUCUGCCUAAAGUGAGAAUGGAGGUAACUUGAAAAGGAGCAUUGUUGGGUAAAAGAUGAGUUCAAUCUGGAACAUGUUUCAGGUGCCUAAGGGCAACUAGACAUAUAGACCCUGAGCUCAGCAGCUAAUCCAGGCUAGAAAUACAGAUUUAAGAAUUGUUCUGAACUCCAUAGGCAUGGAUGACAUACCCAGGAAGAGCAAGGGGAGGACAAAGGGCUGAAUCCAAAGCCAGAGCAGCAUUUAGGAAGCUGGUAGAGAGGAAAGGGGUGGCCAGAGGUUGAGUGGCCACGACCCACACAACCCUUGAGUUUUUUGGGGUGAAGGACUGCAAGAGGAUGAGAAAAUAAAGAGACAAAGCUGGGGUCAGGUAGAGUUCUUAUCCUCCUGAUGGGAAGAAAGGAAUUGGCCCCUCACUGCAGAGGCAUUUAUUUAUACCUUUUAGCAACUUAAUGUCACAGGACACCCUGUUGUCCUAGCAACCCACUGUUUAGAUUGUCUUAGGGCUAGGUGUUCCCGGCUGAAACAGAAGCAGCUUCUCCACGUGGCUUGCCCCAAGCACUCUUUGUUCUUGGGAUUGUCAUGCUCUGGCCUUGCACUUGUGGUCAAUUUCCAACUUCAAGGGCUCCCAACUGUGGCUGGAGAGGAGGGUCCUAAAGCCCCAGGGAGCAGUGCUUCAAGGAAGAGGUGGAGAAUGUGGAGAGAAGACAAGGUUACCUGAUUCUCCUCCAAAGAAGCAGUGUGAGCACAAGAGCCAGGCAAGAGCCAGGCUUGGGUGGGCUCAGGGAUGCAUGAGAGCCGUGGGAGGCUUGGGACUGUUUCUGGAGAUUUUUCAGUAAGAAAACAAAAAAGACCAGGAAGUCAAUUAUUGAGACACACAAAGAAAAGUAGGAGAACUUAUAAGAAGAAAAGGUCAUUGAGACAAAUGUUAAAGAAGAUUUAAACAGAGCCAGGCUGUGGGUGGCUCACGCCUGUAAUCCUAGCACUCAGGAGGCUGAGGCAGGAGGAUGGUUGCAAGUUUGACACCAGCCUGGGCUACAAAAGUGAGCUCAAGGCCAGCCUGAACUGCAUAGCGAGACACCAUCUCAAAAAAAGACAAAAAAAAAAAAAAAGAUUUAAACAAUUUUAUAUAUGUAGUAUCUUUAGUUAUUUUAUGUACCGAGGUUUUACGUAAUUGAUCCCAAGAAUUCAAGACCCAGGGGAUGGCCUGGCAUGGGAGGCCCUGGUUCAAUCCCUAGUAUUGCAGUGGGAGGAGGCGGGAAGACUCUUAUGAGGGAUUCAUUUCAGUCCAGCAAAAUCUUCCUUGUGUGGAGACACAGGCCAAUAUGAAGGGUUGGCAGGAGGGGUGAACUUCAUGCUUGAUCACCCUGAUUUUCCUAAAGUUGUUGUCUGAGAGAGGAAAGCAGGAAGGGGUCUCCAGGAGUGAAGGCUUUUGAACAACUUCUGUAGAAGGCAGGAAAGGAAACUGAGCAGGGAAACAGGAGGAACACAGAGCAGCACUGAAAGGGCUGAGGGGGCUUGCAGCUCUUCAUCUUUAGUUGUCUCGGUUUUUGUUUUGUCGCACAGCUUUCUCCAAGCUUUGAGAGAUGAGGAGAGAAAAUAAGAAUUGGAAGUGUGAUUCCAGAACAAGAAAAUUGAGCUGCUGGCAAGGGAAGGAAAGUGAUGCACUGGCUGGGACUGGGAUGAUGGUCUUAGUAAAAAAUGAACACAAUACUUUUAUUGUUGUUAAAAAUUUCAAACCAUCUAGACAUCCACCAAUAAGGAGUGGUUGGAUGGAAUGGAUAAACAUGAAAACUAUACAUAUUUAAUGAGGUAAAUCAAUCUAUAUUGACAUGAAAAGAUCUCCAGGGAGAGAAAAAGUCUGUGCAAAUAAAUUGCAAAAUAUGUUUUGCAUGGUGGUGUAUACCCAUAAUCCAACCUCUCUGGGAGGCUGAGGCAGAAGGACUACGAGUUACAGCCCACCCUGGGCAAUUUAAUGACUUUGGGAAACUCUGUCUCAAAAUAAAAAGGGCAUGUAGCUGUGUGAAGGCUCUAGGCUCAAUCUCUGAUACUACCAAAAAAAAAAUCAAAUCUUGAAGGAUAUUCAUCACACUAUUAAAUACCAUUACAUGCAAAUAAGGGAGUGAGACUAGGGAGAAAUAAAGAAGAUUUACAACAACAUAAAGGUUAUCAUUGAAUUUAUUUUAUUUUAAAGAUAUCUAUGUACACCAAAUAAAUACACACUGGGGUUUGUGCAGUUUGGUUGGUCUUCCACACUGGCAUGCAACAUUUUGGCAGAUGAGAGUGGGCAAGCCAGGUAUCGCUUAUGGUGGCCCUGGCUCUUACUAUAAGGGAUGUGAUAUAGGAACAGGAAGAGGAGAAUGUAGUGUGAAGCUUCUGGUGAAGGGUGGUGAGUGUAUUGUUUCUUAUUUCUGCAAGUGAGUUACAUUUCCCUUUCAUCUUGCUGAACAGUAGGCCUCUCCUUCUGUGUCACCUCUCUCUUCAUCUGCCCUAUUAUGUGUUCACAUUUUCUUACUCACGAUUUUAAAGAAUCAUUUGGAACUGGGUGAGGGGUGUAUACCUGUAAUGCCACCACUUAGAAGCCUGAGGCAGGAGGAUCACCAUGAGUUCAAGGCCAGCCUGGGCUACAGAGUGAGUUCAUGGCCAGCCUGAAUCUCAUAGCAAGACCUUGGCUCAAAAAAAAAAAAAAAAAAGAUUACAUAAGUCCCCUGGAUUCUUAGAUGUCCUGUUGGCAAAUACAAAAUUUACAAGUGCACUGGUGUCUUCCUUAUUCUCCAAGAGGGUCUGAGACAGCACAGUGUCACCUCAAUCA